AGGGCUAUGGUGAAAUGGUAUCACGGCAGUCUCCAAAACUGCUUUUCCAGGUUCGAGUCCUGGUGGCCCUGCUA
rnacentral:tRNA from 3 species